rnacentral:rRNA from 1 species
ACAGAGAGAAGCGAUACCGCGAGGAGGAGCAAAUCUGAAAAAAGCGUCCCUAGUUCGGAUUGUAGGCUGAAACUCGCCUACAUGAAGCUGGAAUUGCUAGUAAUCACAGGUCAGCAUACUGUGGUGAAUACGUUCCCGGGCCUUGUACACACCGCCCGUCAAGCCAUGGAAGCCGGGGGCGCUUGAAGUGCGUUGCCGCAAGGCGCGCCCUAGAGCGAAACCGGUGACUGGGGCUAAGUCGUAACAAGGUAAC